AUUGAACGCUGGCGGCAUGCCUUACACAUGCAAGUCGAACGGUAACAGGUCUUCGGAUGCUGACGAGUGGCGAACGGGUGAGUAAUACAUCGGAACGUGCCCGAUCGUGGGGGAUAACGAAGCGAAAGCUUUGCUAAUACCGCAUAAGAUCUACGGAUGAAAGCAGGGGACCGCAAGGCCUUGCGCGAACGGAGCGGCCGAUGGCAGAUUAGGUAGUUGGUGGGAUAAAAGCUUACCAAGCCGACGAUCUGUAGCUGGUCUGAGAGGACGACCAGCCACACUGGGACUGAGACACGGCCCAGACUCCUACGGGAGGCAGCAGUGGGGAAUUUGGACAAUGGGCGAAAGCCUGAUCCAGCCAUGCCGCGUGCAGGAUGAAGGCCUUCGGGUUGUAAACUGCUUUUGUACGGAACGAAAAGACUCUUUCCAAUAAAGAGGGUCCAUGACGGUACCGUAAGAAUAAGCACCGGCUAACUACGUGCCAGCAGCCGCCGUAA
rnacentral:rRNA from 1 species